rnacentral:rRNA from 1 species
CAGGCCUAUACAUGCAGUCCAGCGGAUGACGGGAGCUUGCUCCUUGAUUCAGCGGCGGACGGGUGAGUAAUGCCUAGGAAUCUGCCUGGUAGUGGGGGACAACGUUUCGAAAGGAACGCUAAUACCGCAUACGUCCUACGGGAGAAAGCAGGGGACCUUCGGGCCUUGCGCUAUCAGAUGAGCCUAGGUCGGAUUAGCUAGUUGGUGGGGUAAUGGCUCACCAAGGCGACGAUCCGUAACUGGUCUGAGAGGAUGAUCAGUCACACUGGAACUGAGACACGGUCCAGACUCCUACGGGAGGCAGCAGUGGGGAAUAUUGGACAAUGGGCGAAAGCCUGAUCCAGCCAUGCCGCGUGUGUGAAGAAGGUCUGCGGAUGGUAAAGCACUUUAAGUUGGGAGGAAGGGCAGUAAGUUAAUACCUUGCUGUUUUGACGUUACCGACAGAAUAAGCACCGGCUAACUCUGUGCCAGCAGCCGCGGUAAUACAGAGGGUGCAAGCGUUAAUCGGAAUUACUGGGCGUAAAGCGCGCGUAGUGGUUUGUUAAGUUGGAUGUGAAAGCCCCGGGCUCAUCUGGGAACUGCAUCCAAACUGGCAGCUAGAGUACGGUAGAGGGUGGUGGAAUUUCCUGUGUAGCGGUGAAAUGCGUAGAUAUAGGAGACACAGUGGCGAGCGACCACCUGGACUGAUACUGACACUGAGUGCGAAGCGUGGGAGCAACAGAUAAUACCUGUAGUCACGCCGUAACGAUGUCACUACCGUGGAAUCCUGGAAUUUAUGGCCACUACCCAUAUGACGCUGGGGAUACGGCGCAGGUAAACUCAUGAUUGACGGGGCCGCACCGUGGACGUGUGUUAUUCAACACCGAAACUUACCGCCUGGUGCGAAAGCGUGGGAGCAAACAGGAUUAGAUACCUGGUAGUCCACGCCGUAAACGAGUUCACUAGCGUGAAUCCUGAGAUUUUAGUGGCGCAGCUAACGCAUUAAGUUGACCGCCUGGGAGUACGGCCGCAAGGUAAAACUCAAAUGAAUGACGGGGGCCCGCACAAGCGGUGGAGCAUGUGGUUUAAUUCGAAGCAACGCGAAGAACCUUACCAGGCCUUGACAUGCAGAGAACUUUCCAGAGAUGGAUUGGUGCCCUUCGGGAACUCUGACACAGGUGCUGCAUGGCUGUCGUCAGCUCGUGUCGUGAGAUGUUGGGUUAAGUCCCGUAACGAGCGCAACCCUUGUCCUUAGUUACCAGCACGUUAUGGUGGGCACUCUAAGGAGACUGCCGGUGACAAACCGGAGGAAGGUGGGGAUGACGUCAAGUCAUCAUGGCCCUUACGGCCUGGGCUACACACGUGCUACAAUGGUCGGUACAGAGGGUUGCCAAGCCGCGAGGUGGAGCUAAUCUCACAAAACCGAUCGUAGUCCGGAUCGCAGUCUGCAACUCGACUGCGUGAAGUCGGAAUCGCUAGUAAUCGCGAAUCAGAAUGUCGCGGUGAAUACGUUCCCGGGCCUUGUACACACCGCCCGUCACACCAUGGGAGUGGGUUGCGACACAGAAGUAGCUAGUCUAACCUUCGGGAGGACGGUACCACGGUGUGAGUCAUGACUGGGUG